GGGCUUCUGGAUCUAGCAAUGUCCGAGCUGAAAGGGCUUCCACAGGCCCCUCUACUACAUCCUGGCCCCAUUUUACAGAUGAGGAAACAAAGGCCCAAAGAAGGGUGGCUGUGCCAAGUGACAUUUUGUUUUGAGGAUGUUCUCCAUCCCCUGGCUGCCUUGCACUCAGCUCCAAUAUCCAGUGAAGUGAGAAAAUGUUUGCUGACCCCUGGUCUAGAAGCCCCUGUCUGCAUCUCGCUCUCCUCAUCUAUGAAGUGC